rnacentral:lncRNA from 1 species
GUCAGAAACGAAAACUGCUGAUGAUGUAAAAACUUAAAGGAUGUGCAGGCACCUUUCUCAAAUAAUCCACGUUUGUUAGUGGUGGUGGAUCUAAAAUCAAUACAUAGCCAUGCCAUUUCUAUAAUCUGUGAGAAUCAGAAUAGGAAAUGUAAUUUUAAAAAUUCAAUAGGUGAUUGCAUUAAGAAUACACAACUCCUGUGAAGAAAUCUAAGAUAAGACAUCAAAGCCUUUGUAGAGAAAAUUAUUGUUUAUUGAGAGAUAUUAAGAAGAGCUAGUAAACGGAGGGAUACAUACUCUUUUUCACGGGAAGACACAAUUACUGAAAAGAUGUAAAGUUUCUCCAAGUUGAUUCAUGUAUUCAAUACAAGUACAAAAGACAACACAUAAACUGGGAGGAAAUAUGGGUGAGAUGUUAUGCUGACACAGGACUGAUAUCCAGAAUAUAUAAAGAAAUCAUGAAUGAAUAAGGAAAAAAGAAACAUAAAACUUAACGGGGAAAAGAGCAUGACACAUAAAUAGGAAUUUCACAAAAGAGGGCUCAUGUGAAAAACCAACUUCACUCGUAAACAGGGAACUGCAAACUAUAUAACAGCCAUCCAAUUGGCAAAAGGUUUUGUUUUGUUUUUUGAGACACUGUCUUGCUAUGUAGUUCACGCUGGCCUUGAACUCACCGUGUAGCCCAGGCUGGGCUCAAACUUAGGGCGAUCCUCCCGCCUCAGCCUCCUGAGUGUUGAGAUUACAGGUGUGUGCCACCACACCUAGCUUUGAUUGGCAAAUGUCAAAGACAGCUAAGCGCAAGUGUGUGCUAGAUACGGGGCAUGGGGAACUCUGAGCCAUUGCCACCAGGGUGGGAACUGGUACAAGCACUUUAGCAAACACGUUGGCAUUACCAAGUAAAACUCACUUUUUUUUUUUUUGGUACCGGAGAUCAAACUCGGGUCCUUGCACUUGCGCAGCAGGCGUCGAAACCACUGAGCUAAAUCCCUGGCCCUAAAACCAGCUUCUUAUAGUAGUGGUUCUCAAGCUUUCGGUCUCCGAAUCUCUUUACAUUCUUAAAAAUUGCUGAGGCACUCAAAAGCCAUUGUUCCUGUGGGUUUUAUGUAUCAGUAUCGUGGCACAUCACUGGUUAAAAUGGAGACACUGUUAAAAAAUAAACAAAUGAAACCUGAUUAGCUAUUGCAGCAAUGAUAUCAUAUAGCUGGAAAGAAUUUAAAAUUGGGAAAAAUCUGAAUGAAAAGGACAAAUUAUGAGAAAACACUCUGUCCUCUGAAAAGAGCCUCAGAGAACCCCAGGGGUCCCGGAGCAAUCCUUGCACAUGCGCACAGGAGACAGGAACAAGGAGGUGCUGAGCUCUCUGAUGCUGACUGGGCCCACCUGGGUGAGGCACUGUUCUAGAAACUGGGGACAGCAGAGGACAGGCGUGAGCCCUGCCCACAUGGCUUAUGCUCUGACUGGGCAGCAAGUUCACAGCAGCAUCCUCUGUAACAGCAAGAAGCUGAAAACAAUCCAAACCUCUGAUAACUGAAACAUUUGCACUUGGACUACUAUACAGCAGUGAAAACACAAAAUACGGUUACAUGCAGUAAACAGGGAUGAAGAGCUCAAAAACAACAUAAGAAAAGAGAAGUCCCAGAAGAAUACAUACAGUAUGAUUCCAUUUGCUACAAGUUCAAAAACGAGUAAAUCUAAAUAUUGUAUUAGGGAUACAACAUAGAUAGUAGAGCCACAAAUAAGAAUAGGGGAAUUUACUCAUAAAAGUCCAAAAGAAUGUCUACCUCCUACGGCAUGGAUGGGGUCAGACGAGCAGGGGUGCGGGCGCCUGGGAAUGUUCUGUUUCUUAAGCUAAAGGCUGCUCAUGUGUGCUCUUUUCUGAGCUCUGGGGAUGGAGGCCAGGGCCCAGGCAUGGUGAGGCCAGCGCUGUGCCACGGAGCCCCGCUGCAGCCCCAUUCCAUCUCCCACACUCUGGUAUGUGCUGUUUCCUGACACGUUUUUAAAGAAGAGACAGAAGGUUAUGCAAUGUACAGUUCAUCAACAGAGACAAAGAUCUUGUGAUGUUUCAGCCACUGCUGUGCCACACAGGUCCCCCGAGGAAAGACAGCAGUGGGAGAGACAGGACGAUGUGCCAGGGCCAGGAGCUGUCAGCUCAGGACCCACGAGCUCACCCUGGCUGGCGGCUUGCGGAGCUGGCUGCAGCCUCCGCCCGACUCUGGUAGCUGGACCGCGCUCACACAGGGUCUGAGUACUGCACAGAGCUGACAGGAACGGGCGGGAUCCGGAGCCCAGAGGAAAGCAGCCGACGCGGCCUCCUGACUGAGCUCUGCUGACGCUCAGGGCGCACAGCUUCGCGGGCCCCUGUAAUGGCGCCUUUGUGGUCACCAGUGCAGAAACAUGGACGGUGUGUGGUAGUCCUGAGUGUGUCCACGCCGACCAGGGCCACACAAAGCCCAGCACAGGUUUCCAUCUCUGCCAAGGUGGUCACUGUCCACGCGCUGGGCACUCACUCAGCACAGCUAAGCUGUCUCUCCCGACGCCCUGAUACUCCACCCAGAAGGUUCAACUCACUUACAAGGCAGGCGCGGAACCACUGAGCUAAAUCCCCGCCCAAGGUUUAAAUCACUGAACAGACCUGGAAACACUGAAUCCAUUCCCCUUCCUCCCGGAACAGGGCAAGCUAAGGCUGUCGUCUUGAUUUAGGUGCUGGCAAGGGUCAGACGGAGCCAGCAGCCAACUGCCAGCCUAAGGGGCAGGGAGGAAGAAGGUGACCUUGGGCCAUCUCCAGCGGCUCACGGACAGAUGCCAGCGCAUGGGGAGAUUCCCUGCAUGGACCCAGAAGCCCAUCCUGAUUUAAUUAAGCUGGACAGACAAGCCCACCAGGGGGGCGUCAAAUUGCAACUGGUGGCAGAAUAACUUGGGACCAGACCGCUGCCCACGACUGUCUGCCGGGUUUUGUGGUUCUGGGUGGUAAUUAUUACACCUAGCUGCUCAUCCCUUCCCCGGGAUAAAUAGGGAAAUUAGGAGAGAGCCCUGCACUUCUUAGUCUGUCUCCUCGGUUAGGGGAGGCAUGGAUAAUCCUAGCACCUGGCAUCUGCGGGACAUGACUUACUAGUGGACAGUGCGACCUCAUGUUCAGAAACAAACACAUGCUGCUAUCUCGUACGUUUAAGCUGUGUGUGCUCGGACACAUCUGGCUUUUCCUAUGGCUGACUCGGUUCUCCCUCUGAGUGGCUCGUGUCUCACUAGCAGUGAGCCCGAGGGCCAGUGGCUGGGAUGGGGCCCACUUCCGUUUGUCCCGGCAUCCACAGCGGCUGCUACGGAUUCUGCUUCCUGUGCUUUCAUCCCCGAGGUGAGCAGUAAUCACUGACGCCUUGGUGCUCUGCAAAGGGUUUACGGAGCCAGCCAAAUGAGAGCCGCUGUUAAGGAAGCCUUCCGAAGCCCUCGAUCCCACCUCCUGUCUCCCCAGGGCCCAGGCUUCGGGACCCUGCACCCAACCUGUGGCACUGGCUGGGGUGGGAGCGAGACUGCACAGCGGACGGCCUCUAAGCAGCAGGCCCCUGCUCGACUCAAUUCACCCAAGAUGCAUAAAACAAAAUGACCUCAUGCUUGGUUUCAGGUGACCCUUGCUGACAUCAAAGGCCCAGAAGUGGACUUUUUUUUUUUAAUUUCAGUUCAGCAGAAACAAAAGAAAAGCAAACGGACACCAGUAAGAUAUGGAAAAUCUACAUUGGGAUUUGACAUUCAGCUUCUAGAAGUUACUGUUUCUCUCCUGGGAUACUGUAGUUGGUUUUUUUAGGGAUGAUCAAAAUAAGCCUUCUCCUGUGGUUACGGAAACAUGCAAAUGGAGACGCUUACCAGCACACUAGAAGGAAGCUGGAAGGGAGGUGGCCAAGGCGAUUGUGUUUUCCAGAGUCAGCAUGUCCUGGCCUCCGAGCUCAGUGGUGACCACCGUGACCCGACUCGCAGCGCGACAGAACCCCGGGAGCUCUAACUCUGGUGUCUGAGUCCUCCAGCAGUCCCCUGUGCUGAAGUACGAAGGUCGUUCCGGUGUCAGAAAAGAGACUAGCUGGGUGUGGUGGCCCACACCUGUGAUCGCAGCACUCAGGAGGCUGAGGAAGGAGGAUGCCACAAGUUUGAGGUCAGCCUGGACUACAUAGUGAGAUCUCAUCUCAAAAAGAAAACAACAACAAAGAGACUAACUUACCAAACAGAUUUUAAGCUUAUUUGAUCUCCCAGUGUUAAAAUCAUAGUCCAGGGCCGGGGAUUUCGCUCAGUGGUUUCAUCGCCUGCUGCGCAAGCGCAAGGACCCGAGUUCCAUCCCCCGGUACCAAAAAAAAAAAAAAAUCAUAAUCCAGCAAUGUCCACCGAUCCCAUUAAGUGCUACGAUCUUCUCAGAUUAAAGCUCCUGGUGAGCUCUGCAUCUGCCAUUUAGAUCCCUUCCUUCCCCAUCCCAGACCUGCGCUGGGGAAGCCGUGCACCGGCGAGGUGGGGGCUGCAGAGCCCAGUUAAACCUGCCACAGCCUCUCCUGCCGGGCCUCCGCCAUCCGCGAGAUGCUGGUGCGAGCGGGCGUGGGAAGGCUCACUGGGCCGCGCCCCGCAGCUGGGGAGGGUGGGCAGGACCCGUCCGCUGAGGGCAGCGGCCGGAAGCGCGAGCGCGGAGCAGGAAGGGAAACUCACAGCCCUUGGGGCCUUUGCCUUUUCACUUCCGCGCACGCUGGUUCAGCUCUAGUGAGAGGGAAGCGGGCGCUGCAUUCCUGGAGGGGACGAAUCUCCUCGCUUAGGCGUGGGGAGCAGUCCUGCGAACUCGAACUCAGCCGGGGUGAAAGCCAGCGCCGCUCACUCGGACUCGGCCCCUGCUGAGGCUUCCUUCACGUUCAAC